AGGUAACGUCAAGAAGGUCGGGUAUUAGCCAACCCCUUUUCUUCCCAAUUGAAAGUGCUUUACAACCCGCAGGCCUUCUUCACACACGCGGCAUUGCUGCAUCAGGGUUUCCCCCAUUGUGCAAUAUUCCCCA
rnacentral:rRNA from 1 species